CCCAAACACCACUCCUUAUCUCACUAAAAAAAUCCCCCACUCCCACUACGUCACCAUUUUGCAACUCACCGGCGACAAUGGACGGCGAAGAAUAUCAACAUAAGCUUCCAGAUCUAGUAAAAGCACUUGUCAGCCACCUCAUUCCCUCCGUAACACCCGACGCCGCUGCCAUCACCGAAUCCAUUAAACGUCGUCUCGCCACUGAAGGUAUAUCCUCUGUAGCCCUCUCAUUGCGAAUCCAUCAACCGUGAGUAUGUGAAAUUGGUUAAGGAAGAAAACGAUGUAACUGACGUGCUUUGUGCUUGUCAAGGAGUUGAUGGCGCCUCCUUUCUUGGUCCGCAAAGUAUUCACUCAAAUAUUCUCAUUCAUCCAUGUUCAAUUAUUCAAUAGGUAAUCUUGUUCUCCCACUUCCCAUUUCAUGUCAUAUUGCAGCAUGCCUAAUUUUUUAUGGACUUAAUCUGGUCAUUGCUUGCAAUCUUCUGCUGUGCCGCGAGUGUUGUUCAUUCAGCAAUGGGGAGUAUGUGAAGACAGGUUUGGCUGAAUUAGAACAGUGGUGCAUCGAGGCAACUGAAGAGUACACUGGCUCGGCGUGGGAGGAACUAAAACAUAUCAGGCAGGCAGUUGGUUCCUGGUGAUACAUCAAAAUCCCAAGAAGUCCCUUAAUGAAAUAACUAAGGAGCUUUGUCCUGUUUCCUGCCCAACUAUUGAGAAAGACACAUCAGGUGUUGCAAAAAGUUUGCACAAAGAGUGCCUUGCUAAAAUGGAAC